rnacentral:rRNA from 1 species
UACAGAGGGUGCAAGCGUUGUUCGGAAUUACUGGGCGUAAAGGGCGCGUAGGCGGCCUUCUAAGUCGAACGUGAAAUCCCCGGGCUCAACCCGGGAACUGCGUCCGAGACUGGGAGGCUUGAAUCCGGGAGAGGGAUGCGGAAUUCCAGGUGUAGCGGUGAAAUGCGUAGAUAUCUGGAGGAACACCGGUGGCGAAGGCGGCAUCCUGGACCGGUAUUGACGCUGAGGCGCGAAAGCCAGGGGAGCAAACGGG